rnacentral:lncRNA from 1 species
CAACAUGUUUCUAUACCACAUCUAAUGUAUGUAUUAAACAAUAGAUCAGAUCUAUUACCUUGCAAGUUAGAUGCUCUAACCUCGCUGAUCCGGGCUUAAGGAUGAUGUUGCAAGCCGCACACGUGUCCGGCCUCUAGGAGUCAUCCACACGAGCCCACGAAUCUCGAUCAGAAGUCCUGCUUCAGGAAAUCAGCACAGUAUGCUAGUACUGCGCUGAUCCUUCUUUGAUGGUUGAUCAGGUGCCUCCUUCUUCUUGAUUAGGACUCUUCCAAAGAUGAAAAGUAAAAGGAGGAGUUUCAGAUCUGAGACACUCUCAGGAAACUCAAGAUGGAGGGAGGAAAGAUAUGAAAAUAAAAAAUCCUAGAAGAAGACCCUCUUCUUCUUCACGUUUUUCUCUCUAGACACCCUAACUUGCAUCUUUUAUAUCUCCACGACCCAAAGGUUUUUCU